ACCCACUCAGCGCGGCUCCCAAAGUUGCAGACGGCUCGGCCGGCCGUGCAGUGCGCUGCGUCUGCGCCGCGCAGAGAGAAGUAAAGAAAACUCCGGGGGCUCUGCUGGCUUCUUCGCGAGUGACCGCGAUGCUUCCCCAGAUGGAAGACCGGAGCCCUGCUCCUCUGCGAUCCGCCGAGGGCUACAGGGAGCAUCCUCAUCCAUUUGGGCACCCCCGUCCAGGACGAGCCCGGCCAUCCCUGUCCAGCCUGGAUCCUUGAGAGGUGGAUUUUCUUCUGUGGAUUCCGUUUGCUCGGUCUGACCCGCCUGGGCAAAACAGCAUCGCGUGGAACCAGUGCCGCUGGGCACGCUAGCUUCACGCCGGCUCCGCCUCGCCAGCAAGCGCGUUCCCAGGUGGUCAGGCUCAGGAUGGACCAUGAGGUUUCAAAAAGGAGAAAGGUGGAAAUUCUCAGCUAUGCUGCCAUCUGAAUAAAUGUUUCUUUGCAGCAUGCAGAGUCAAGGAAAAUUACAUCUCUGCAUUAUGUAAUGUACCAAUGCACUUACCCACUGUUUUAAUCUAGGUUAUUCCUGAAAGCAGAGCUUGAGACAAAGGUAGACAGUAGACACAUUCUAUUUAUGAGUCUAAUACCAAGCAGCAGGAAUGAGAGACAGGGGAGUGAACGUGGGGAAAGGGAAAGUAAGUCCAAGCAAAACCAGAUACUGGUGUUAUCAAGUGGUCUGCUCCUAUUAAUGGCUACAUAAUGCAGAACUUUCUCAGGAUUCCUCGUAAACUUUAUCUCAGAACUGUCUUCCUCAGGGAGAAUGGAGAAGUAUUUCUCCAUCAGCAGCCACAUCCUGUGUGUUGAGGGCUGCUCCUUUGGGGCAUUAACCCACUACCCCUGGCCCCAUCACUCUGGGCUGCAAGGAGCUGAGAGCCCAGCUGGUACCACAGCAUCACACAUUACUGCAUUAGAGAGGUCUUAAGACAGGAAGCUAGAGUCUUGGUGCAUGCUUGAAGUGAGACAGUGUUAGCACAGAGCAGGGGAAAACCUUCCGUAACUGUUCACCAGUGCUAUGACUGGAAUCAGAGGUUGAAAAGAUGUGAGACUAUACACAAGAAGCAUCUUAUAAGCCUACAUAAUAUACUGUUAGACUCAUCUAAAUCUGUUUCCUUCCCUCUUUAUAAUCAAAACUUUAGUGACCAGAAUAAGGUUGGCAGAGGGUUAAAUAGGAAAGUUAAAUGUGUUAGAAAGUAUACAUUGCUAAGUUUUAACCUUGAGUCAUGUUCAAGGAAAAAGUGACACUGGAACUUAGAAAAUUAAAAAAUGAUUCUACUUGAAAAAUUUGACCAUUGCAUAGAAAUAUUAGCUAUUGUCUAAUUUUUUGUAAUCUCAGAAACAAUCAUGAAUUGUUUGGUGAAAAAUGAAAAAAAUAAAUUUAAUCAUUUCUUGUGUCUCCGUGAGCUUUAUAGACCAAUGUCACUAACUUUUCCUAAAAUAAUUAUUUCCUACUGCCAAAUAGCUCUAGUGAUACAAAGCUUACAACCAAUGAAGGGAAAACCAAUAGAAACAUAGGAAGAAAAAUACUGGGAUAAGUUUCAUCACAUAAAGUGUUGUUAUUAAUAUUGGUUGGAAUGGGGGGGAACUGCAUGACUUGGCAUGACAUUCCUGUAUGUUGUAUGAAACUCUGUCUUAACAGAAAUAGCAAUGGCAUCAUCGUCCUCUCUUACUUGAUCUUGAAUUGCCACCAUUCAGAUAAAACCUUUGAAUUAUUUAACUCAAUAUAUGUUAAGUUUCUACUAUGUGCUAUAUACUGGUACUAUAAGCACGAAUAGGACUUAAAAUAUUAUUUUCAAAAACAUCAGAAUACAUGUUCUUUUAAACUGUACUGCAAAAUAUUUACCACAUGUUCUGGCGCGCACCUUAGGCUAGAUCACAAAUCAAUUCUCAAGAAAUUUCAAAAAAUUGAAAUCAUAUGGAGUAUGAAUUAAACCAGAAAUCAAGUACAUAAAGGUAACAAAAAAAAAAAUCCUAAAUGCAUGUAAUUUAAGGAACAUACACUUCAUGACCCAUGAGUCAAAAAAUAAAUCACAGCAAAAUUGCGAAAAUACCUUGAAAUUAAUUUUAAUGAAAAUACAGCAUAUUAAAACUUGUGUGAUGUGAAAGCAUAUGAUGGGAAACAUACAGCUCUAAGUACAUAUAUUAGAAAUUUUACAGAAAGAUUGGCUAUCAGUGUCUCCAGAAGCCAGGGAAAAAGUUGAGACAACUUGAUGGCUGAGGAAGGGAAACAAAUGUGAGAUCUCUUAUCACCCUGCCUUUCCCGGGUGAGCACACUGGAUCCCAUCACAGGAGGAGGAGCUUAAACAGAGGUCUUGCUGAGUUGAGGAGAGGAAGACUGGAGUUGAGACUGAGACAGCUUGAAUUUUCAGGACAGAAUAUCAACAAGGAGGAAGGCAGACAAGGAAAAAUUCCAGAAAUCUACGUAGAGACCCCCUUGUGUACAUUGUGGAGCACUAGGCCUAAUAAUUCUCAAAAUUAGUGCAAGAUUGGGAAAUAUUUCAUUUCCAUCCAGCCAUGGUGGAGAGUCCUGACCGAAAACCAGGCGUUCACUGAAAAUCCCGGAAAGGUUACAUGUUACAUAAGUAGGGCUAAACUAUCCUGACAGAAAACUACACUUCACUUACUCCCCACCCACACAACAAGCUUAAAAACAAGCCUCAAUAGUAUAAAGCUGACCUGUAAGUAAGUAAACUACCUUCUAGAACAAAGUCCAAAUUUAUUAGUUCCAGUCCUUAAAAAAAAAAAAAAA